CCGUUACGGGUCGUAAACUCCGUUUCGAAUCGUAGACGGAAAUAGGGCCUCCGGGUCGAAUAAGUCCGGAGGAGUGACGGUACCGAGAGAAGAAGCCCCGGCUAACUCCGUGC
rnacentral:rRNA from 1 species